GAUGACCUUUAUAAUUUUCGCGACAACUGUUUCCGCUUAACUUCGGAGGAGAGAGACUCCAAAUUGCAAAGCCAAUCUGAUCUAGCUCUUCAAAUCCUCGAUAAAAUUCCUAUAGAAAAGAGGAAAUUGCCACUUCAACGUGCAACCUCUGAGUAUCUAAGAGGGAAAAUACUGGAUGCAGUUCCUGUGUAUAAGAAGGAAGCUGAGGAUCAUCU
rnacentral:misc_RNA from 1 species